ensembl:lncRNA
CAAAAAGAACAACAAAAAGAACAACAACAACAGCAGCAGCAGCAGCAGCAACAGAAAGAACAACAGGAAACGAACGGAGUAGAUAAAGUGUACCAAACGAAUAAUAAAAAUGUGAAAAAAACAGAAGAAGAAUCAGAUGAAUUGUACAUCUUUAAACAUUAUUUCUACGAACGAUUACAGUUUGGUUAUGAAACUAAAACUUUCUAUUAUUUUUAUCAAUAUAAAAAUGGUUUUUUAUCUUUUUAUGAAAAUGUACCAUUGGAUUAUAUAAGAAACAUAAAAUUUAUGAUGAUCGAGGGUGAUUUAGGAGCUAAUAAAAGAAUGGUAUCAAAACAAAAAUAUUUUUAUUUAUCUGUAGAUGCUGAAAAGUCAUUUUCUGAUAUUAUAAAAGAUGAAAAAGUAGAACUAUAUGAAGAAGAAAAGCAGAAAAAAAAAAAAAAAGUAAAAUGACUCCUACAUUGAAAGAGUCAACCGAUGUCAUAGUAUCACUAAAUUAUACUAUUCAUAAUAAUAUAAUAGAACAUAUACAAAAUAAUUUUGAUUGCUAUAAUAUAAAGAUUCUUAUUAAUAAACCUUUUGAGCAAUUUAAAAUUUCAAAGGAGGGAAAACAAAAAAUGUUGGCAAUGAAGCGUAAUAAUAACAGCUCCAUAAAUGAUAGCAAAGACGAUUUAGAGUUGUGCGACGAUUUAGAAAGAGGUUAUUUUAACUUUUUAUUAAAGGAAAAAGGAUUACCGUUUAGGAAAACACGCAGUGGUCAUGUCGGUUAUCAUAGUGGUACAGAUGCAGUUACAGAUGCAGUUACAGAUGCAGUUACAGGUGCAGUUACAGGUGCAGUUACAGGUGCAGUUACAGGUGCAGUUACAGAUGCAGUUACAGGUGCAGUUACAGAUGCAGUUACAGAUGCAGUUACAGGUGCAGUUACAGGUGCAGUUACAGAUGCAGUUACAGGUGCAGUUACAGAUGCAGUUACAGAUGCAGUUACAAGCACAGAUUCAGCUACAGGUGCAAUAGGCUGUAAUGAAGAACAAAAUAGUAAAUCGCGCGAUAGUAGUAAUGAUAAUGACACAUGUCGAACUCGUAAGGAAAAUAGCGCAAACGAAAUAACAGUAGGAUCUGCGCAUAAAGAAGAGCAAGUCGAAAAUGUGAACAACUAUAACACAGGACACGUAAUUGGUAAUGGUAUAUGUGAGAAUACAAUAAAUGUAGAGGGAUCAGAAGGUCGGAUAAAAUUUGAGGAAGAAGAUAAAGACGAUAAUAAUAUAUAUCAGAAGCAUUUCACAACAACUUAUUUGAAGUUAUACAACAAUAAGAUGAAAAAUAUUUUUCGUAAUAAUACUAUACGUGGGAUUGUUAGUACAAAGAAACUGUUAGAUGAUAUAUAUGAUGAAAGCUUAUAUAAAAAAAGAAUAGAAUCAAUAUUUAAUUUUAAGCCAAUAAAAGAAUCUAUUGAUUUGUUGUAUGAUACAAUAGAAGUCAGUUGGAGAUUAAAUAACAAAGGUAAUGUAAAUUUUUCUAAUUUGUUAAAUGUAUCUAAAAAUUAUGCUAAAUUAUUUUUUUUCCCUUACACUGAUAAGAAUUUCAAUACUAAAUGCGAUUAUGGUCGAUAUGGAUUAGGAGUAGAUGGUCUUAUAAAAGUAUAUAAACACUUAGAAUUAUAUCCUGAUUUUCUUUUUAAUUCUAAAAAUUUAUGUUUUGUUAAUAAACAAAGAUUAAAGAAUACAGCUAAUAAAUUUAUUAAUUAUAAAAUUAAAUUAUGGGAGCAUGUUAAAAAAGUAAGAAAACGAUUACAUGAGUACUUUCGUAAGAAUGCAAAUUCGAAAUUUCAAAAUUGUAACAAUUCAAUUACUUAUGAUUAUUCAAGUAGUUAUACGAAUAGUGAUAAUGAACAUAACAUACAAUCUUAUAAGUUCUUUUAUGAUAACUUGGACCAAUUAACUGAUUCAUCUUUAAGUUAUGGUGAGUCUAGUACCGAUUUUCUUAGACAAAGAUCUGUUCGAAAGGGACGAAUAAGUAAAUCUAAACUAUGGAAAAAUAAAAAAAAAAAUGAAAAAGUCAAUACCAGUAGCAAUUCGAAAGAGCAAACUGGUAAUAACACUUAUAAUAGUUGUAACAUAAAUAGCGACAUUUUAAAUAUAAAAUAUUGGAGAAACAUUAAUACUGGAUUAGAUAUGGAUAAACUUUAUUGGAUUAUAUACAAUGAAAUUAUUAUAGAUAUAUUUUAUAAAAAUAUUAACUUUGUUUCUUGUAAUAAUUUAAUUGAAACACUUAUUCGUAACACAUUCAUGUGUAAAAAUAAGAUGAAUAUAAGUAUUGAAGAAAAUAUGUGUAACUUAUUUAAUUUACAAUUAUGGAAAAGUAUAUAUCGCAUAUCUUUUAAUUAUGUUUACACAUGGAAUUUUUAUUAUUAUGAAUAUAAUAAAUUUUUUAAUAAAAUAAAAGAAAC